CGGGAACGGGGUGAGCACAGUGAGCUAGUGAGCUCUAUAUAUCCCUGUAUAUAUUCCUUUUUUAAGCAGUGCUCGCACCCCAGCGCGGAGCGGCUCCUUCCCAGACCUGUCCCAGGUGAACCUAAUGGCCACAAAAAAAGGGAGUUCAUGGCAGCAUGACCAAGGAGGCCAAUUUGUGUUCAUAAUGUCUGUGGCUGCUGGCUGUCUGGCUCAGAAAGGUGUAGAAGCGCUAUUCACAGAGCUAAGUGUGCUGGAUCCCA